CAAGCGAAGACUACUCAUAGUUUGUUCAGACUAGUUCUGUAUAAGCAAAACAGUUUUCGCAAAAUCAGCCUGAGUUUCUUACUACCCAUUUAGCACUUAUAUUGCUGAAAGGUAAUUUCCGAAUUCAGACAUUA
rnacentral:snoRNA from 17 species